rnacentral:rRNA from 1 species
UUUUAACCCGCGUGUGGACUGAGCAUAUCAAUGAGCGGAGGAAAAGAAAAUAACAAUGAUUUCCCUAGUAACGGCGAGUGAAGAGGAAAGAGCUCAAAGUUGGAAACUGUUUGGCUUAGCUAAACCGUAUUGUAAACUGUAGAAACAUUUUCCUGGCACGCCGGAUUAAUAAGUCCUUUGGAACAAGGCAUCAUGGAGGGUGAGAAUCCCGUCUUUGAUCCGAGUAGUUGUCUUUUGUGAUAUGUUUUCAAAGAGUCAGGUUGUUUGGGAAUGCAGCCUAAAUUGGGUGGUAAAUCUCACCUAAAGCUAAAUAUUUGCGAGAGACCGAUAGCGAACAAGUACCGUGAGGGAAAGAUGAAAAGAACUUUGAAAAGAGAGUUAAACAGUAUGUGAAAUUGUUAAAAGGGAACCGUUUGGAGCCAGACUGGUUUGACUGUAAUCAACCUAGAAUUCGUUCUGGGUGCACUUGCAGUCUAUACCUGCCAACAACAGUUUGAUUUGGAGGAAAAAAUUAGUAGGAAUGUAGCCUCUCGAGGUGUUAUAGCCUACUAUCAUACUCUGGAUUGGACUGAGGAACGCAGCGAAUGCCUUUAGGCGAGAUUGCUGGGUGCUUUCGCUAAUAAAUGUUAGAAUUUCUGCUUCGGGUGGUGCUAAUGUUUAAAGGAGGAACACAUCUAGUAUAUUUUUUAUUCGCUUAGGUUGUUGGCUUAAUGACUCUAAUGACCCGUCUUGAACCAACGGAACCAUAAA